rnacentral:rRNA from 1 species
AACUUUCAACAACGGAUCUCUUGGUUCUGGCAUCGAUGAAGAACGCAGCGAAAUGCGAUAAGUAAUGUGAAUUGCAGAAUUCAGUGAAUCAUCGAAUCUUUGAACGCACAUUGCGCCCCUCGGAACUCCGGGGGGCAUGCCUGUUCGAGCGUCAUUA